GAUGAACGCUGGCGGCGUGCCUAAUACAUGCAAGUCGAGCGGACGGACGAGAAGCUUGCUUCUCUGAUGUUAGCGGCGGACGGGUGAGUAACACGUGUAUAACCUACCUGUAAGACUGGGAUAACUUCGGGAAACCGUAGCUAAUACCGGAUAAUAUUUUGAACCGCAUGGUUCAAAAGUGAAAGACGGUCUUGCUGUCACUUAUAGAUGGAUCCGCGCUGCAUGAGCUAGUUGGUAAGGUAACGGCCUACCAAGGCAACGAUGCGUGGCCGACCUGAGAGACGGAUCGGCGACACGGGAACUGAGACGCCGACAAGGCGACUAAGAGAGGGAGCAGAAGGGAAUGGUACGCAAUGGGCGAAAGCCUGACGGAGCGACGGCGCGCGAGUGACGGAGACCUUCGGAUCGUAAUACCCUGCUACUAGGGAAGAACAUAUGUGUAAGUAAAUGUGGACAGCUUGACGGUAACUAAUAAGAAAGCAACGGCUAACUACGUG
rnacentral:rRNA from 1 species